GAGGGUAUAGCUCAGUGGUGGAGUGCAUGCUUAGCAUGCACAAGGUCCUAGGCUCAAUCCCCAGUACCUCCA
rnacentral:tRNA from 1 species